rnacentral:rRNA from 1 species
UACAGAGGGUGCGAGCGUUAAUCGGAAUUACUGGGCGUAAAGCGUGCGUAGACGGUUAUUUAAGUCGGGUGUGAAAGCCCCGGGCUCAACCUGGGAAUUGCAUUCGAGACUGAAUAGCUAGGGUACGGUAGAGGGAAGCGGAAUUUCCGGUGUAGCGGUGAAAUGCGUAGAUAUCGGAAGGAACAUCAGUGGCGAAAGCGGCUUCCUGGACCAGUACCGACGUUCAGGCACGAAAGCGUGGAGAGCAAACAGG